rnacentral:sRNA from 1 species
UAUUCUGCCCCAUGGGGAAGGAUGAGAAGCUUCGACUAAGGUUCGACUCGAGCGAAGCGAGAGAACGUUGCCGCAGGCAAUGGCCCGAAGGCGAGGCGCUUUAGCGCCGAGUAAUCCUUCCCCCACCACUU